rnacentral:lncRNA from 1 species
GAUUUUAAAUUAAAGAUGCUAAUGACUCAAUUUGAAAAUAGUAAAGAGAUAAAUAAAUACGAUAUAGUAUAAAGUGCUAAGAAAAAUGUAUCUAUGGAUGCAGGCAGAAAUAAAUUUAAUACUUUUGAAGCAAAUGUAAAAUAAAAAUAAGUGGAGAGUUUACAUAAAAAUUCAUCACAAAAGACAAAAAAAGUUAAAUGGUAUCACUGUUGAAGAUAACUGGACCCAUUGUUUAUACAAAAUGUUUUUGCUUUAUUGAAAUAUCAUGAUAUUUUUUAUCUUGCCAAAGAGAGGUCCCCACUAUUGUAGACAAAUAUUAAUUACUAUAAGGAUUUUAUUAUGUUACAUGUAAUGUAAUAUACACAAUUCAUAAGAAUCACGCAAUUAUAUGGGUCUCAUAAUUUAUGUGGUUCUUAUGAAUUGUGUAUGUUACGUUACAUAUAACAUAAGGACUCUCUUAUUAUAAUAUUAUUAUAUGCCAGCCAAAUAUGCCAGUUAUGGAAAGUAUUCAAUCAAUCGCAUCAAUACACUAGCACUGGACUCCAAAUUCAAUAAAUCACGUAGUUCCAUAAAAUUGGGCAGCCACUCAUUUGAUUCCGCAAUUAGAAGGAUAUCUUUCAAAAUCAUAUCCACCAUAAUUUUUUUUAGGGCAUGGCCAUGUGCAGCAGAUAGAUUGAAAAUGAAUCUUAACUACAAACGUAAGUAAUCAAUAAUAAAAAAUUUAUUAUAACUUUA